UACGGAAGGGGCAAGCGUUGUUCGGAAUCAUUGGGCGUAAAGGGCGCGUAGGUGGUUCUGUAUGUCUACCGUGAAAGCAUACAGCUCAACUGUAUUUUGUCGGUAGAAACUGCAGGACUUGAGGCUGGGAGGGGCUGGUGGAAUUCCCUGUGUAGCGGUGAAAUGCGUAGAGAUGGGGGGAGAACACUCGUGGCGAAGGCGGCCAGCUAGACCAGUUCUGACACUGAGGCGCGACAGCGUGGGGAGCAAACAGG
rnacentral:rRNA from 1 species